UUCAUUUUUUGCAACCUACUUUUAAU
rnacentral:piRNA from 1 species